UACGUAGGGGGCUAGCGUUGUCCGGAAUCAUUGGGCGUAAAGCGCGUGUAGGCGGUUCGGUAAGUCCGCUGUGAAAGUCGGGGGCUCAACCCUCGGAUGCCGGUGGAUACUGUCGGGCUUGAGUACGGAAGAGGCGAGUGGAAUUCCUGGUGUAGCGGUGAAAUGCGCAGAUAUCAGGAGGAACACCAAUGGCGAAGGCAGCUCUCUGGGACGGUACUGACGCUGAGACGCGAAAGCGUGGGGAGCGAACAGG
rnacentral:rRNA from 1 species